rnacentral:rRNA from 1 species
CUACAUUGGGGGUAGAGUGACUUAGAGUUUCUUGAACUCCGACUCCUCUUCGGAGUUUUUAGUGAAUUGCUCUUCGUUGUCCUUUCGGUUCUGGACGAUUAGUUCACACAUAGUGUUCUAAACCCUAAGGGUCACCAUCCCGAUAACGUCGAACGUAAUAUAUCUCCACAGAAGACGUAACCUCUAGUAAACUUCAACUUUCUUGACCACAAAAACUGGCACAAUAAGUUUGCUAUCCGAGACGAUAUCUCCAGGUCCUGUUAUUGCUGUUCAAUCGCAUAACCGAGAGGAUAAGUAGGUGUAAUGAGGAUGAAGAUGUUGCCUGUGACUUUUGUUGACCUCGUCGACCUGAGUGAGGAGUCUCCGCUUCCAGUUGACGAUGUAGAAAACCCUCCAAAAAAAGC